CUUGGCUCACGUGCUCUGCUGCUCCCGGAGAGGGAAGACCCAGGCGGGGGCCGUGCCCCAGUGGAGGCCUCGCCGGGCAGGCUCCUGGAGGAGCCCUGGUACCCCUUGAACAUGCAUACCUUUCCCAGAGAGAGGGACAUGGACCGCGCUGUGCGAGGGACCCCGUCUUCUGCAACAGGAGGGAACAGAGAGGAGAACUCAGGGAGAAGACCAGAGGAACCAAGCCAACUCGAUAGGCCUCAAUGGGCACUGGCAACAGCCAGUCCUGUCCACACUGCACAUGCAGAAUCUCUCAGAAGCCAACAGUGGGACCAAGUCUGAGCCAACAACCCCUUCCUUGGGUCUUCUGGCCUCUGCACCUGAAGAUGUCCAUUCCUUAGGAUGGGCGUGAGGAUGGGGAAAGACAACUUGCUUUUUGUCCAGGACAUGAGAUCUGUCCAGGUCCAGCUAAACCGCCAGCAGCAGCCUGUCUGAAAAGCCAGGAUCAGCCCUCUAUCACCUCGGGAACUUUAUUCCAAAGAAAAAGAAAAUUUCUUCUUUAACUUAGCAACAGCCUUA